GUAAAAAGUCAUAAAAAUGUGUUCUUUUUGUGCUAUAAAUUGACGGUUGAUGAGGCAACAGUAAUGUAUGGUUAAAAAUACCCUAGUUAGUUCAUGAAUACGUGAAGUCAUGGGUGAAGUUCUUUCAUUUUCUAGGUUAUAAUAUUUCGAAAAAAAAUACAUAUAUCAGAGUUAUUAACAAAAAAAAACAAUACUCAUUGUUCAGGUUUUUUUUCUUUUUAUCAAAUUGAACACCUAUUUGUGUUCACUCUUUGUUUAAAUACGUCCAACUUCGGCU
rnacentral:lncRNA from 1 species